UGGGGAAUAUUGGACAAUGGGCGGAAGCCUGAUCCAGCAACGCCGCGUGAGGGAUGACGGCCUUCGGGUUGUAAACCUCUUUCAGCACAGACGAAGCGCAAGUGACGGUAUGUGCAGAAGAAGGACCGGCCAACUACGUGCCAGCAGCCGCGGUAAUACGUAGGGUCCGAGCGUUGUCCGGAAUUAUUGGGCGUAAAGGGCUCGUAGGCGGUUUGUCGCGUCGGGAGUGAAAACACCGGGCUUAACUCGGUGCUUGCUUUCGAUACGGGCAGACUAGAGGCAUUCAGGGGAGAACGGAAUUCCUGGUGUAGCGGUGAAAUGCGCAGAUAUCAGGAGGAACACCGGUGGCGAAGGCGGUUCUCUGGGAAUGUCCUGACGCUGAGGAGCGAAAGUGUGGGGAGCGAACAGGAUUAGAUACCCUGGUAGUCCACACCGUAAACGUUGGGCGCUAGGUGUGGGAUCCCAUUCCCACGGGGUUCCGUGCCGCAGCUAACGCAUUAAGCGCCCCGCCUGGGGAGUACGGCCGCAAGGCUAAAACUUAAAUGAAUUGACGGGGUCAUAGCUGUUUCCU
rnacentral:rRNA from 1 species